UUUCCGUAGGUGAACCUGCGGAAGGAUCAUUAUCGAAAUACUUAUUUAGCGUUCCGUGCUAUCCCAUUGUUUUAUUUACCCUGUUGCUCCCACUGGAUGAGUUUCCAUACCUUGUGUUUGAGAAACUUUGGCUUGUGUAAGAUUCAUUCACGGCCAGCCAGUGAGAAGACCAUUUACAAAACCCUGUUAAGAACCAAUUGUCUGAAUAUUUUACUCCAAUGAAAUAAAACUUUCAACAACGGAUCUCUAGGCUCUUGCAUCGAUGAAGAACGAGC
rnacentral:misc_RNA from 1 species